AGAGUUGUAUCCUGGCUCAGAUUGAACGCUGGCGGCAUGCCUUACACAUGCAAGUCGAACGGCAGCACGGGAGCAAUCCUGGUGGCGAGUGGCGAACGGGUGAGUAAAGUAUCGGAACGUGCCCAGUCGUGGGGGAUAACGUAGCGAAAGUUACGCUAAUACCGCAUACGAUCUAUGGAUGAAAGCGGGGGAUCGCAAGACCUCGCGCGAUUGGAGCGGCCGAUAUCAGAUUAGGUAGUUGGUGGGGUAAAGGCUCACCAAGCCGACGAUCUGUAGCUGGUCUGAGAGGACGACCAGCCACACUGGGACUGAGACACGGCCCAGACUCCUACGGGAGGCAGCAGUGGGGAAUUUUGGACAAUGGGCGCAAGCCUGAUCCAGCCAUGCCGCGUGCAGGAUGAAGGCCUUCGGGUUGUAAACUGCCUUUGUACGGAACGAAAAGGUCUGACCUAAUAAGUUGGGCCCAUGACGGUACCGUAAGAAUAAGCACCGGCUAACUACGUGCCAGCAGCCGCGGUAAUACGUAGGGUGCGAGCGUUAAUCGGAAUUACUGGGCGUAAAGCGUGCGCAGGCGGUUAUGUAAGACAGAUGUGAAAUCCCCGGGCUCAACCUGGGAACUGCAUUAGUGACUGCAUAGCUGGAGUACGGCAGAGGGGGAUGGAAUUCCGCGUGUAGCAGUGAAAUGCGUAGAU
rnacentral:rRNA from 1 species